UGCCUCCAUCUUUAUUCUCGUUCUUAACUCUGAACUUGCCCUCUCUCUGUCUCUGCGACUGCAAACUACAAACUCUACAAGAAUCAAAUCAGCCUCCCAAAUCGCCUCCAUCUCUAUUAUCGUUCUCAACUCUAAACUUGCCCUCUCUCUGUCUCUGCAACUACAAACUACAAAAUCUAUAAGAAUCAGAAUUUCAAAACCCAUAUACUUCAGUUUAUCUAUCUGUCUGCUAGAAUCAAAAGUUCAAAACCUAUUACCUAUAUCGAAACCCAUAUUUCAGAUUGUUCAAAAAAAUCAAAACCCAUAUCUUUCAGUUUCCAUCGCCCGCGUUACCAGCUUGCCCCAAUGAAUACACAAGUAUGACACCAGUUUUAUCAAAGGAAUACGCAGAUGAUGUUCGCCCUCUCAUGGCCUUAAUGGACACAAACCCUUUGUUCUGGAGUGCAGCAACCAACACUCUUCUCCAAGUUCCUCUCUCUCUCUCGUAACUUUUCUAUAAACCCUAACUUUCUCUCUCUAAAACUAAUAUCCCCUAAUUCACCAACGACUCUCAUAUUCACGAAUUCACACAGGUCCUUUCAUUCUUGAACUCCAUUCUACUUUUCAACCAAGUCAAUCAAGUUGUCGUAAUCGCCACGGGCUUCAAUUCGUACAAGUACGUCUAUGAUUCGUCUUCAAAUGAGGUUGCACAUAAUCAGAGGGCGGAGAGUUUGUUACAGAGGUUGGAGGAGUUUGUGAUUGAGGAUGAAAAGCUGAGAAAGGACGAGUCAGUUGAUGGGAUUGGAGCUUCACUGUUAUCAGGGUCUUUGUCGAUGGCCCUUUGUUGUAUCCUUAUAAUUGAAUGCUCAUACAUUCAUUGCUUAUAUAUGUAUAUAUAUAUUGUAAUUUAUAUAAAGCUGUUUUGGAUUAAUCAUUUUUCCUCUUAACAUUGUUCUGUUUGAUUGAUUUAUUGCCAAAGGGCUGGAGAUUUUAUUAUCCUAUUAAAGGUUUAAUUUUUUAUUUUUUCUAAUAAUUGUUGUGGUGGACAGUUGCGACUUGUAAGAUUGGUUUCACAUUUUUUCUUCUUCUUUAUUAUACUCCUUUAGAUGUAAUUUCUGGAUUUUAAUUACAUCUUUUUGUUGUAAUGCUUAGUGCCAUUGUAUAGUUCUGUUGAAAUUGAGGGUUAAAUUCUCCCAGAAGUCCACAAGCACUCAGAUGUGGCAUGAUGCUAAUGCUAAUUGCUGAAAAAUUCUGUGUAUAUAUGUAGAUGAUCUACACCCUAAAUACAUAUUUAUGACUAUUAAUUUAUCAAUAUAACAAAUAGUUGUUGGUAAUGCUGGUCUAAAAUAAUAGUAUAUGAGUUUUUAAUAAAAAAAUUUAUUUGGUUUCUUGUUCAAUGUCUUUAAAAUAAAGUUUUUACUAACUAUAAGUCUGAGCUGUUUGAUAAAAUGCCUUAAUCUAAUUAAAGAAUUUCAGUUAUAGCAAAUUCCAUAUAAUAGCAUUAGAUCGUGAUUUGGAUCGGGUGUUGAAAUUUUUUUUUCCCUUCAUUUGCUGGGUGGGAAGGGAAGGGGAGAGUGUUCCGUGAAAUGAAGGCAGGAACAAAAACUCUUGCAUUUGGCUUUAUUUGUUUCAUAUUGGCAGUUAGGUGUUCAUUUUACCUUUUGAAAGCAAGCUUCUGUUAUUUCUUUCUUCUAUUACUUUUAUUCUUCUUAGUAAUUGCAAUUUUGUUGAGUUUUUUUUUUUUUUUUUUGCCUUCAUAUUUGGUUAUAUAUUGAUGUUAACUAUUCACUGCUCUUGGUUUCAGAUUACUGUCAAAAUCAGCUGCGAUAUAGAUCAACACAUUUUCUGACUUUUUAAGUAACAAUAGUCUGUCCAAAAUCUUGGUGAAAAGCGAAAAGUCAGAUAAUGUGCGGAUGUUAAAUGUUCUGCAAUAAAAAAAAACUAGUAAAAUUUUCAUUGAGGAUUCUCUAAUGGUUUUUUUAUAAUUAUUUUUCUUUAUUUUAUAUAUAUGUGCUGAUCGUUUAAUGGUUGAAUAAUGUAAAUUUUUUUGUUCUCUGUUAAGCCCAGCUGAGCUUUUGGAUUCACCUGUUCUCCUCUCCAUUUAUAACGAUGUCAAAGUGAAAUGGCUGCUGAUCAGAAUCCGAGCGAGUAUAUAAUGCUAACAACCAGUCCUCUCCCAUUGCUUCACAUUAAGUCUCACCUUCUGAAGAUUUGGUCGGCAAGUCUUGUGAGCUAUUGCAUUUUCAUAGGACAAAAUCAGUUGUCGCCAAGUGUGUGAUUGAUUCAAUGGAUCCAGAUUCUCUCAUAGGUUCUGCUCCACUUGAUUCUGACUAUUGGAGAGUGUGGAUCACUGACCUCAUUGAUUCCAGUGUACCCUUAUAUAGGCCUGAAAUUCGUGGCUUUGAUUUGAAAGACGCAUAUGUUACAAGAUUUUCAAUUGCAUGGACUAUCAAGUACAUCAAAAUUUGUAAGUGACGCAUUUCUUUUAUGAUUGCACAUUUUUAAUGCUUUUUAUACUCUGCUCAGGGGGGUCACGUGCCUUUAAGUGACCAAUU